rnacentral:rRNA from 1 species
GCAAGUCGUACGAGAAUCUUCGGAUUCUAGUGGCGGACGGGUGAGUAACACGUAGGUAAUCUACCUUAGGGAGGGGGAUAAUCGGAGAGAUUCGAGGUAAUCCCGCAUAUGGUCUUCGGACUGAAAGCUCCGGCGCCCUAAGAUGAGCCUGCGGUGCAUUAGCUUGUUGGUGGGGUAAUGGCCUACCAAGGCGACGAUGCAUAGCUGGUCUGAGAGGAUGAUC